GACGAACGCUGGCGGCGUGCCUAAUACAUGCAAGUAGAACGCUGAAGAGAGGAGCUUGCUCUUCUUGGAUGAGUUGCGAACGGGUGAGUAACGCGUAGGUAACCUGCCUUGUAGCGGGGGAUAACUAUUGGAAACGAUAGCUAAUACCGCAUAACAAUGGAUGACACAUGUCAUUUAUUUGAAAGGGGCAAUUGCUCCACUACAAGAUGGACCUGCGUUGUAUUAGCUAGUAGGUGAGGUAAUGGCUCACCUAGGCGACGAUACAUAGCCGACCUGAGAGGGUGAUCGGCCACACUGGGACUGAGACACGGCCCAGACUCCUACGGGAGGCAGCAGUAGGGAAUCUUCGGCAAUGGGGGCAACCCUGACCGAGCAACGCCGCGUGAGUGAAGAAGGUUUUCGGAUCGUAAAGCUCUGUUGUAAGUCAAGAACGGGUGUGAGAGUGGAAAGUUCACACUGUGACGGUAGCUUACCAGAAAGGGACGGCUAACUACGUGCCAGCAGCCGCGGUAAUACGUAGGUCCCGAGCGUUGUCCGGAUUUAUUGGGCGUAAAGCGAGCGCAGGCGGUUUGAUAAGUCUGAAGUUAAAGGCUGUGGCUCAACCAUAGUUCGCUUUGGAAACUGUCAAACUUGAGUGCAGAAGGGGAGAGUGGAAUUCCAUGUGUAGCGGUGAAAUGUGUAGAUAUAUGGAGGAACACCGGUGGCGAAAGCGGCUCUCUGGUCUGUAACUGACGCUGAGGCUCGAAAGCGUGGGGAGCGAACAGGAUUAGAUACCCUGGUAGUCCACGCCGUAAACGAUGAGUGCUAGGUGUUGGAUCCUUUCCGGGAUUCAGUGCCGCAGCUAACGCAUUAAGCACUCCGCCUGGGGAGUACGACCGCAAGGUUGAAACUCAAAGGAAUUGACGGGGGCCCGCACAAGCGGUGGAGCAUGUGGUUUAAUUCGAAGCAACGCGAAGAACCUUACCAGGUCUUGACAUCCCGAUGCUAUUUCUAGAGAUAGAAAGUUACUUCGGUACAUCGGUGACAGGUGGUGCAUGGUUGUCGUCAGCUCGUGUCGUGAGAUGUUGGGUUAAGUCCCGCAACGAGCGCAACCCCUAUUGUUAGUUGCCAUCAUUCAGUUGGGCACUCUAGCGAGACUGCCGGUAAUAAACCGGAGGAAGGUGGGGAUGACGUCAAAUCAUCAUGCCCCUUAUGACCUGGGCUACACACGUGCUACAAUGGUUGGUACAACGAGUUGCGAGUCGGUGACGGCGAGCUAAUCUCUUAAAGCCAAUCUCAGUUCGGAUUGUAGGCUGCAACUCGCCUACAUGAAGUCGGAAUCGCUAGUAAUCGCGGAUCAGCACGCCGCGGUGAAUACGUUCCCGGGCCU
rnacentral:rRNA from 1 species